rnacentral:rRNA from 1 species
GACGAACGCUGGCGGCGUGCCUAACACAUGCAAGUCGAGCGACGAACCGGUGCUUGCCUCGGGGCAGAGCCGCGAACGGGUGAGUAACACGUGGGUGACCUGCGCCCAUGACUUUGACAACCCGUCAGAAGACGGGCUAUUACCCGGUAUGCCCCCUGCGGCAAAGUAGGGUGCGUCGUCCGCAUUCGGCUGGGCCGGGGGCGCACGAGAUUGUUGGGGGGGUAAUGGCGUAACUGGCCGACGAAGCGUAGCUCGACUGAGAGGACGGUCAGCCACACUGGAACUGAGACACGGACCAGACUCCUGAGGGAGGCAGCAGUGGGGAAUAUUGGACAAUGGGCGAAAGCAUGAUGCAGUAACGCCGCGUGUGGGAAGAAGGCCUUAGGGUUGUAAAGCGCUUUUAGUUGGGAUGAGCCGCCGAUGGCGAAGAGCAGGUUGGAGUGACGGUACUUUGAGAAGAAGCACCGGCUAACUACGUG